ACACUCCUGCGGGAGGCAGCAGUGGGGAAUUUUGGACAAUGGGCGAAAGCCUGAUCCAGCAAUGCCGCGUGUGUGAAGAAGGCCUUCGGGUUGUAAAGCACUUUUGUCCGGAAAGAAAUCCUUGGCUCUAAUACAGUCGAGGGAUGACGGUACCGGAAGAAUAAGCACCGGCUAACUACGUGCCAGCAGCCGCGGUAAUACGUAGGGUGCGAGCGUUAAUCGGAAUUACUGGGCGUAAAGCGUGCGCAGGCGGUUUGCUAAGACCGAUGUGAAAUCCCCGGGCUCAACCUGGGAACUGCAUUGGUGACUGGCAGGCUAGAGUAUGGCAGAGGGGGGUAGAAUUCCACGUGUAGCAGUGAAAUGCGUAGAGAUGUGGAGGAAUACCGAUGGCGAAGGCAGCCCCCUGGGCCAAUACUGACGCUCAUGCACGAAAGCGUGGGGAGCAAACAGGAUUAGAAACCCCUGUAGUCCCAUGA
rnacentral:rRNA from 1 species